rnacentral:lncRNA from 1 species
GGGAGCGCGAGGCCGGUGAGGCCUGGGGCAGCGAGGCGAAGUGGGAGAGAAGCCGCGGAAACCCGGCGGAGGACCGGUGGGCAGCGCGUCGUUCCGGCGUUAAAGGGCGGGGACUGCCGAGUAUACCGUGGACUUUAUCAGCCCCAGGUCCACCCUUGAGAAAUCGGCCUCUUCCCGCCGCCCUCAGGAGCUCGGCCGCCGGCUCUCGCCUGCACGGCCCCGGGAAGGGCCCGCUCCCGGCGCGCUGGGCUGUCUCACCAGGCUCGCGACGCCGACACUCAGGCGACCGGGGUCCGGCCGGAUCCCCUCGGCGCCUCGGCCAGUGUUUCCAGGCAAUUCAGCGGCGUUUUCACAAGCAUUAGGAAACUCGUUCAUGGCCACUGAAAAGUGAGGGGCGGCUCAAAUCCGAUUUCCCACGGAUUCCUACCUCCAACGUCAGAUAAUGUCCGGAAAAGGUACCACCAAAUAAGCAUGAGAGUAUUAUUUUGGAGAAACAAUUAACCCCUACCCAAAUAUAAAGCGCCCGAGGAAGGUGAGACCGGAAGACAAGCAAGCCCCGUGCAUUCGCUGGUGCGGAAAGUGCGGCGCGGGGCCGGGCCUCGGGUUCGGGCCCCGCACUUCAGCACCGGAGGGGAUGGACAGCGUCUCCGGGCUGGGCUGCCGCCCCCGGGUCCGAACUGCGGCGCCGCGGUCCUCGCUGCCGCCGUCACCAAGGGUAGCCCGACUCCGGGCUCCUCGCAGCUAAGAGGCGGCCUUUCCAGAUGCCCCCGCGCCCCGCUCGGCUUCGUGACCCACGGAAAGUAACCCUCUUUUACUUGCUAUAGCCCCGCGCGGGGCUCUGAGAAGCUCUCCGGUUCCACAGAUUAAACUCAGCUGCAACUUCAAGAAUCAUUUUCCGCGGGGGCCAGAGGAAUACCAGGAGGAGAGUGAGGCCGAAGUUCUCAGAGGCUCCAGAAACCAUGGGCUCUGCAGUCGGGGUCCGAGUGCUCAAAGGCCCCUGCUUCCCCGAAUAAACAGAAUGCUCCCGGGAGGAUUGCACCUGUUUUGGAAAUAGCUUUGUGAGAGGUUCCAGAUCUACUCAGAACCUGACGUUAGAGACACGGGAGGAAUUCUGAGCCCUUUACUUGACAGGUAAGUGAUAAUAUUAUUUCUGCUUGUUUGUAACUCGAAUGACUUUUUUCUCUCCCAGGGUUUUAACGGAAAGAUUAGAACAGUAUUGUUUUUCCUUGUGGAUUCAGAAGAUGAACAACUUGAAUUUUAAACGGUUGUUCCUGCAUAAUGAUCUUUAGGAAAAUUUUGACUAAAAUAGUUGGAUAUUUUAUUUCUCUGAAAUCCCUUAUGUGACAAUAAUAUGAAAUAUUCUGUACAUGCUUAUAUAAUUAUAGUAAAAUCUCAGUUGGGUAUUUUUAUUGAUCUAAUAUCUUUUUGAAUGUAAGUCACCCCCCUCAUAAUAUAAUAUGGAAUUUUAUAAGAGUUUUUUUUUUCCCUUGGUCUUAUGAAUGUAGUUUAAAGUGAUCCUGUCUGUGUCACAUAGUAUGCAAGACUCGAAAGUUACUAGCCGUGAUGGUUUAACUAUCUCUUCUACUAUAUUUAUAUGAUUAUAAUUUGCCAAAUUGUGCACAGGAGUGGACACUUGUGGACACACACCUGACCCCCCCCCCCGCUCUACAUAGACCCCAAGUAUACCUACACCUGUGGAAUCUUACCUAAAGAAACACACACAUUUUUAUGCAGCGUUGUCUUUCCAGCCUUUUAAAGCUGAAGACUGCUGGCUCGAAGCAGAUCUGCCAGAAGGCAGAAAAUGAGAUGCUUUAGUGUGCCUUUUUAGGAGAUCUGGAUUUCCAUAGCAUUCUGACUUCUGAGUUCUACAAAUUUCAUUUGUCACUGAAAUCUCAAAAGGGAUGAGGGGGCCAAGAGGUCCUUGAAAAACCAUAACUUUAAAGUGUUAACUAAUGAAAUCUAUUUUCUGUUGAUUUGUACUUCUGGAGUCUCCCCCUGGAGCUUUAAAACUACAAUCUUUCACAGUGACCUUGAUAAGCAUUUUGCUUUACUAAAAAGGCUUCACUGGUUACACAAACGUAUAGCCCAGGCCUGACCUUUCCCUAAGAGCUGCAUCAGUUCCGAUGAGCAUGUUCAGUUAGUGGAGAGUUUGACUUGGGAUGACAGAUUUUUACAAUCAUGCGAAUGCGUGUGGUGCUGUAGCAUAGCCAGCACAAGGAAAGAGUCUGCCCCUUUGAGAUAGCACAGUUCUUCAGGUUUUCCUUUUAGUUUCCUAGGUCAUCUAUAACUGAUUAUUAAAUAUAUAUCCAUACCUACCCUCUUUCUCAGUUUCAUCACAAAAUCCUCUGGGAGAGGCAAGAUGGAAUGGGUUGGUGCGCUCAAGGGCCCUUGUUUCGCGUCAGCUGAGGGCAGCAGUCACACUCUAUGGAGGGAUCAUUCUUAACUGUCACUCUCCACUUAGCAUGAACCUGCUUGCUUAGCAGAAAGGGAGCAGAGGCAUGGAUGUCACUGAGCUCCUUGGGGGCUGUGUUGCCCUAAAUAGGUCAGAAACCAUCAUCUCCAGAGAAGAAAACACACCAUUGAUUAGGCUCAUUCCCAGGAGACCUACAGCAUGCCCCUAACAUAACCUGCUUUUGUUUUUCCAGUCUAAGAGCUGUGAAUGUGAAAUGACCACAUGGACCAAUUAAUCAUGUUUUUAGAGAGUUACAGCCUGUCGUUAGCCUCUUAGUUUGGUUGUCGAUUCAUAGCGCAGACAGCCUUCCCCGCUUGGCAGAGCACAACAUGGAAGCAGAGAACGUUCCAGGAAGCACGCCUGUGGUAUGUGGCUGCAGUUACCGUCUCAGUGGCCAAGGGGCAGGCGUUCUCCAUGGCUGCUUGAAACAGCACAAAGUAAAAGUUACCUUCCCUAAUCCCUGUGGAGAUUUAGUCAUGGAAAUAAAUAAUUAAUUCACAGUUCCAAGCUCAGGCAAGCUCCUGGAAGCUCUCAUCAGCCCUCAUCUUUGGGGAAAUGUCAUUAUAUUGGGACAGAGUUUUGUAAACCAACUUAAUGCUGAUGUAAUUCUAAUCUGUGACUUUCCCCCAACCCUAAAAAAAAAAGGUGUCAGUGGGCUAAUGCAGCCAAGCAUGCUUUUUUGCACAGAAUCACCUGUCUUUAAAGAGAAAUCGUUACUCAAUUCUAGGACAUCCAUAUUCCACUAAAACAGCGAUUUGUCCUGAUGGUUGUUUUGGUCUGUUACCCAAAAAGGAGGCGUGAGGUUUGGGGAGUACCAGAUACAAUAUUUAGCAUCCCCUCCCUGGGAGGUGAGCUUCUUUGGAAGGGAUUAAUGUCAUUGUGUUGCUUACUUUUGAGACUCAGAAGAGAAAAGUGAAAUAGGAUUGCAUAUUCAGGAAAAUAUAAAGUGUGUAUAGGACCAGAGGUUAAUUAGAAUGAGCACUGGAAUUUGUUCACCUGCUUGUCUUCUUUUAAUAAGACGUGGUAUGUAGAGAGUGUGCUGGGGAGUUCUGGCUUGAACCUUAAAGGAUAAAAAUAUUAUAAAAAACCCCUGUCGGUCAUUUUUUGUCUACACAAUCUAAAUAUGAAGUGAAUAGUCUAAUAUAAUAAUGGGCCAUCAGAUCCUAUUGGAUUUGAAUGUCCACAGUUUGCCUUUGAACCACCUUAUCUACAUACUUACAAAAAAUGUAAAAGUAAGAGGUGAUUAUCAUUGGAAUUUAAGAAGGCCGUUAAUAAUUGACUUAUUUUUGCACCAGUUAUAAGAUGUGCAUUCCAGGCAAGCAAGCUUCUUAUUCACCCAGUUCUGUCAAGAAGGCAAAAGCCCCUCGUGAAGAAAAGUGUGUCCUAAGCCAGAAAUGAUUUCUAUAGUUAUCUCACCUCCCCUGAAACCCAUACCCUGAGCCAUAGCAUAGCACUCCAAUGGAGAGAGGCUUCUUGGUUAGUAUUUUCUUCAUGUUCUGCUCAGCAGGAUGAGCUGUACAUGGCAUGCCUGGGAAGACACAGCAUCCUGCAGCACAACAUAUGUUAAGCAUCAUAGUGCAGCAGAGCAGGCGCUGCUGGACAGUCAGGAGAUGGGGCUUCUUAAAAUGCUGGUCAUCAGAUCGUGAGCAAGUCACUCAACCCGCUGCUUAACUUUUCCUCCCUAUCGAGACCCUUUAGGUACCAAUUCAGUAUAUAGGUUCCAAUAUUCAAUAUAUAGGUCCCAAUAGUAUAUUAUGUACCCAGUCCUUUAUAUAGGUCCACACCUUGGUAUCUGUGGGAUAAGUGAAGAGAGACUGCUCUGUGGCAUAUGGAGAGUCUCAAUAUGAUACUUUUGAGAGUGUUUUGGAAACGUAAAUGCUAUAUCUUUGAAUUAUGAUAUGUACUCUCCAAGAGCAGUUAUUCCUUCAUUUGUCAAAAAAGUCCCUUUUGGAGUUCCCGUCGUGGCGCAGUGGUUAACGAAUCCGACUAGGAACCAUGAGGUCGCGGGUUCGGUCCCUGCCCUUGCUCAGUGGGUUAAGCAUCCGGGGUUGCCGUGAGCUGUGGUGUAGGUUGCAGACGCGGCUCGGAUCCCGCGUUGCUGUAGCUCUGGCGUAGGCCGGUGGCUACAGCUCCGAUUCGACCCCUAGCCUGGGAACCUCCAUACUGGGAGCGGCCCAAGAAAUAGCAACAACAACAACAACAAAAAAAAGACAACAACAAAAAAAAAGUCCCUUUUGAUUGCUAUGCAGUGAGCAUGCUUCUUGUCAUUAAGAGUUUUCACUGUAGGAAAUAUAUUUUCCUGUUAAUUCAGCAUCAAUUUUCUUAUAUCUCUCAAUGGAAUAAAUAUUUUAAUGCAGAGAGGACCUGAUAUAAAAAUAUUUAUUAUUCGAAAUUGACACAAUGGUUUAUAGCAAACAGUCAAGCCUAGGUCAGCAUGACCCAAGGCCAUUUUAAUUGCCGUUGACCCUUGAGCAACGUAGAGGUUAGGGGGCACCUGCUCCCCAUGUAAUUGAAAAUCCACAUAUAACUUUUGACUCCUACAAAUCUGAACUGCCACAAAAAUUCCUGCUGUUGACUGGAAUCCUUACUAGUAACAUAAACAAUUCACUAACACUAGUUUUGAAUGUUAUAUGUAUACCUACAUAUAUUUUAUGCAUUCAUGACAUGCCAUAACCCUGCCUUGAUUUUUUUUUUUGUAUUUCUAGGCUACCCAUUUCCACCAUUUACUUUUCAACUUGUCCUAUAUCUCCAAAAUUUUUCCAAUAUAUUUAUUGAAAAAAUAUGAGUACAUGUGGACUUGUUAAGUUCAGACCCAUGUUGUUCAAUGGUCAACUAAGCUUUCCUUUUGACUUUCAAUGAAACAAGCACUGCAUUUUGGUCAUCAUUUUCCAGUCUGUAAAGGAGAAAUAAUAGUUAUUCAUUUUACCAGUAAGGAAACUCAUGGGAUGAAAAGGACUUUAAAAACUCAAUAUCUGCAAAGACAUCCAGAAAGCAUUUUGAUUAGCUUCACUGGCCAGUGCAAAUGGAGUGAAGUGUGGACCACACAGUUUCUAGGAUACCCAGUGAAUGCUCUAAGGAUCUAGUCUUGGCUUAGCCCAGAGCUUAGAUUCUGCUCAUAGGUGUCUUUAGGAAGUCUCCAGGUAGGCAACAUCUCAUGGCUUAUUUUCUUUCAUCAGUUGGCAUUUCUAAAGUGGCUAUGAUUUUUUUUAAUGUAAGUUUUAAAUAUUUGGUCUGUAUAGAUUCUUAGAUUAUCAUUCUAAUAAUAUACUGAUAGUAAAUUUGAGAAAUCUAAAUUAUUAUUUAGUGUUAUAGUUAGUUUCCACAUAGUUUUGUGGUUAAAUUAUCUGAGUGAGCUGGAAAUGGAAAAUUAUAUAAUUGCCUAGGUAGUGAUAUAAUUAUGAGCAUUUUUUUGGGGGGGGGAUUGAUUUGUCCUCACUUUUUACCAAAGAAGAAAAAAUAAAGAAACAGUAAAGAAAUAGGGGGAAAAAGCAGAAGGUGAAAGGUCAUUAAAAUGAUGUCAUGUGAUCAAUAACUUUAUUUUUCAAUCAUUAUUGUGAAGCUAUGGUUCAGCACAUUCUACACAUGCAAAGCGUCAGAAGAUCAUUUUAGAUUUUCUUGAAUUUGAUCUUCAAAUUAUCAGCAAAGCUGAAAUAAUUGUGUUUAUUUUUAAGUAAAGGAAUCAUUAGGAGUUCCUGUCGUGGCUCAGUGGAAACAGAUCUGACUAGCAUACAUGAGGACUCAGGUUCAAUCCCUGGCCUCACUCAGUGGGUUAAAGAUCCAGUGUUGCCGUGAGCUGUGGUGUAGGUCACAGACAUGGUUCGGAUCCUGCAUUGCUGUGGCUGUGGUGUAGGCUGGCAGCUGUAGCUCUGAUUCGACCCCUAGCCUGGGAACCUCCAUAUACCAUGGGUGAGGCCUUAAAAAGACAAAAAAAAAAAAAAAA